CAACAUAGAAUGAAUUGCCUAUAAAUGACACAGCAGAGGGCAGUUAUACUCUGAAGUCUACCUUUCUGCUGCACAGAGGUUAUUGUGGGCUGUCUUUGAAGCAAAUGAAACUGUAUUUCCAAAAAAGCUCACAAGAAUAAGGGAUGGAGAGGAUUCAACUGGGCAAGUUCUUUUGCUAACAUGAUUUUUCAGUGAACAUGAGGAUGCUUUAGAGACACAGCUAAUGUAGGUAGCCAAUAUGUUGGCUGUUGACUCAUAGCAUAGGAUUUUAUCAUUCUGUACCGCUACACAAGGAGAUGGGCCGCAACUUUAUAUUCCAGUCGAGCAGGGUGAAGGUUUUUUUUUUUCCCCUAACAGAAAAUAGGUUGGAAGGCAUUGAUUGGGUAGCUGCUCUGACCCCUUCUGUAGCACCAAAAAGGCCCUCCAUCCCAGACAGGCUUGCUUGUGGCAGAGGGGCCUUAUGGAUAACUCAAGUGCCUGUUUUUGAAAUCUGGCCCAUAACCUGGUGCUCACAAAAUACGUACAUGGCAGCACCAGCACCUGCUUUGGUGUAUAAUAUGUAGUCAGUGACAUACUUUACAUGCACAGUUAACCUGUGUGUAAAAUGGAGAGGCACAACGUAGGGUCCCAUUUUCAAAAAUGUAACUUAACACGGCUUUUGUGUCUAUAGGGAGAGACUCCCCUGAGGUCCAUCUUUUGUGAUACUAAACUGAUCUCACCUACCAACAGUAAUAAUCAAACAUUUAUUUUCAAAUUAAUUUCACAGUGUGUCAUUCUGUGAACUUUCAGGCUGGAGCACUAAGCAAAAUUAGUGCAAUUUGCCUUGAAAGAGAAGAACUCAAAUUAAAAAUCCUGGUUUUCUGAGGAUAUAAAAGAAGUGUGUUGCUGGUGAAUAACUACCCCCAUUUGUUUAGCCACUUGACUAUUUAUGUCCAUACAAUAUUCGUUAAUGAUAUGAUGCACAAUGAAUGGAAAUAAAGAUCAUCAUUAGGCGUUAUGUAAAUACUCUUAGGUCAUCAGCAUUUUAAUGGCUAUUACUUUUCCUUUGCAAUGUUGCUGUUUGUGUAAAAUCAUACAUGUUACAUUUAAUGCCAGUUGUUGUUAGCAGGUGUCUUGUCAUGGCACACUCCUAAUAUAGUGUCCUCCCUUAACCUGAAAAACAAAAUGCCACAUUUUAAGCCAAAGUUUCUCCUUCCAUAUGCAGCUCACUUGUUCCUCAGCAGCAGAGGACUUUAAAAAGAAAAAACAAGGUUGACUCUCUCUCUAUGCAGCCCAACAGUUAAAUUCUAUAUCCUCCUUAGCAUGAGCAGGGAUCCCAGGAUGAGGGAAAAUCCCUUCUGUUGAUUUAUUUGUAAUUUUUCCAUUUCCAAACACUUUUUUUUUUUUUAACCCCAAACCUGAGGAGUAGCAGGUGUGUGUCUUGUUUACACAGGAUGAUGCCUCGCAGGAGACUAAUAUGCAAGUUGAAGUAACAGGUAAACUGAAGCAGCACUUUAACAACAUGCUAUCCAAGCAGAACAGUACGACCGCUGGGGUCUCUGUCAUCAUGAACACAGCUCUAGAUAAGGAAAUUCAGAUUUUCUGCAACAAGCGCUCUCAGGACUCUAGUAGAGCUGGUAUGCAGAAAACUUCUGUGAUUAUUGCUGCAGCUGAAGAGCCUCAUGUGGCUGGGUCCAAGAACCUCUCCCCUGCUUCUUCUGAGCCAAUCAAAUCCCCCACACAGCCUGUCCCGGCAUGUCAUGACAAUGCUGGGGAACAGCUCGCUCUAUAGAAGUGAUUUAAACCAAAGCCCACUUCUAGGCCAGUAGACCCCUUCAACUUAAUGAACAUCCAUCACAGCUGUGGUUUUUCAGUUUGCUUCCACUCUCUUGUGGCAAGCCCCAGGCAGACUGUCAAUAGGUGGAUGGGUGAAGUGUGUGCUGUAGCUUUGAGUGCUCUUCCAGCCUUUGCCUUCUGAAUCUUUAGAUUUGUUUUUAUCAUUGGAGUUGGUUUAAUGAAAUGCAUUUCUCACACCCUAGGAAUCUGAAUAGCUUAAACUAACACAUAGAUGAACAGUUAUGAGGCCUCACUUGUGCACAAACAGACUCUCUAAGUCAACAGAACUUGUUCCCAGAAAAGGGGUAUGCCCCCACAAAAAGCUGUAUUUGUCUCCUGUCCCAGUGAGUUGAGUUUAGCUGAGCUGAAGAGGCAAGUUUCCAUGAAAAACUGCAGUGGAUUAACUGUACAAUAUUGAAAGACAAGCUUCUCAAAGGAAAAGGACCCCUUCUCUAAUACCAGACUUCAAGAUAGUGUUUAGAUCAUAUGAACUUCAAGUGACUUUGGAUGUAAUAACAGGAACUCUGGGCAUUUAUUGGGCCGAAGACUGCAGUCAAGGAAGCCUUUUCAUUCUAGCUAUUGUGUAUCCUCCCCCCACAACUACAGUAUGUAUUAGAAACAAUAAAACUUCUUUGAAUGGAAAGCUUGCUGCAUGUUACAUAAGCUAGGAUGGAGCAGUUCUAGGGCAAGCUGACUAAUAGCAGAACUACCACUAGCUACCAUAAAUAGCUGCCAAUAUUUUAUUACCAUCCCCCUCUUCAUCUAGUGUAGGAACUGAAAACCAUAAUGGGGGAGGCACGGAUCGAAGGUGUUUUAUCUUUAUCAUACUGCUGCAUUCAAUAGUGUAUUUCCUCUGCUUGGUCCUAGUUCAUUUUCUUUGUUAGCUUUUACUUUCUACUAGAAUUGUAACAGACCUGCAAUAAUAAACUUUCUUUAUGAAAAGA